CUCCUGAUCUCAGGUGAUCUGCCCACAUCAGCUUCCCAAAGUACUGGGAUUAGAGGCAUGAGCCACUGUGCCCGGCCCAGUGUACAAAUUUUUAGGGUUGAUCAUUUCUUCAUGUAAAAUUUGUUAGGAAUAUUUUUACCCCCACUCACAGCGUGAAACAUUAUCUAUCCUGUACUAUAAUUAUUACAUUUACAUAACUAAGUCUGGUCACCUUAAGCACCAUGUGAAAUACUCAAGGGCAAGGUCCAUGUCUAGUUUAUCUUUAGAGCCACCUUUGUCCUUCACAGCACUUAGUACCGUAGAAAGCCCUCAAAUAUUUAUUAAUGAAUGUGUGAAUGGUAUUUUAUCCUUUUCCAAACUCUAUUUGUGUUAGAAGAUCAUAUCAAUCCUUGAUAAGACAUAACAUGUUUUCGAUCCACAGAAAAAUGUAUACUAAUGUGUCAGUCUGUCUCCCUGAGUCACAAAGAUGCUGGAGUGAUCAAAGUCUUCAUUUAUUGGGGUGAAAACACUAAAUCAGUGCUAUCUUGAGGAAAGAUACCAAAGCAUCCAAUGGAUAAACCUUUUGUCUGAAGAAGACAUUUUCAGAUUAUGUGGAAAGGCAUUUUUGAAAAACAAUCUAACAUAAAAGCUAUCAGGAAGAGACAGCUUAACUUUGAUACUUUGCAUAAACAGGGGUCCCAUUCCUAACCUUUGCUCACAGAGUGACCUCCUUCCAAGAUACACAGGUUGGGCCUUGAAAGAAUUAGAUUUCUUAGAAUGUGACUCUUUUACGUCCUCAAGAAAAUAACUACCCGCUUGUUCUUUUCAUUUGUACUAGGUAAGUGGAGGUUUGUUUCAAAAUGUUCAUAGUUUUAGUUAGUGUCACCUAUAGGUAAACAAAAAAUUCUAAACAAAUUCUAAUUUUGAAAGCAUCAAAGGUAAGUUGAUAGUGACCAUAUAUCAUUAUUUGAAAGCUGAAGUAGGCCAGGCACAAUGGCUCACACCCGUAAUCCCAGCACUUUGGGAGGCCGAGGCGGGCAGAUCACGAGGUCAGGAGUUUGAGUCCAGCCUGGCCAAAACGGCAAAACCCCAUCUCUACUAAAAAUACAAAAAUUGGCUGGGUGUGGUGGCACAUGCUUGUGGUCCCAGCUACUUGGGGGGGCUGAGGCAGGAGAAUCACUCGAACCUGGGAGGCAGAGGUUGCAGUGAGCAGAGAUUGUGCCACUGCACUCCAGCCCGGGUGACAGAGUGAGACUCCAUCUCAAAAAAAUAAAUAAAGUGGAGGUAUAAGUGUGAGAAUAACUGUGCCUUACUGUGUUCUCAAUAUGUGUUAAGUAACUGAAUAUAUUAUAACAUGACCACAUAUCCACUAGUAGGCUUAGGAUAUUUUACUUUAUCAGUGGUCCUUUUUAAAUAAUCUUCAGUAAUGUCUCUAAAAAUAUUUUGUACAUCAACCAAACCAUCAUUAUCAUUUCAUACUAUUCAUACUAUUCAGAUACACUUUGGGUAGACAACAUAUUACACAUUAUUUCACACUACUAUAUACUAUUCAUAUUAUACUUUGGGAAGCCAUUUUGUAAGAACAAUUACUUGUAAUGAGAUUUCAUGUCUUUAUAUUUUAACAGUGUCCUAAAAUCCUAGCAUGAUAACUAGGAGAGACAAAGAUCUGCCUAGUUUUCUAAUUUCAGUGUCUGCCUAUAUAACUUGUACUCUGAUUCUUUUUUCCUAUUUUAAUUAUUCUUCAAAGGAAAGUGUGUAGAAGAGUCUUAAAUUUUAAAUUAAAUAACCUCUUAAAAUCAAGUUUUCUAUAAACUUUUUUACAGGCAAAAACAAAUAGGAGAAUCAAAAUAGCUAUGUCUCAAAGCUGUUGUUUAACAGUUUAAUAUUAAAUAAUGAUCUCAACAUAUAAAUUAAUAGUCUGUUUAAGAUUUGUCUCCUCACAACCUUCUGUUCCAGAAAACCAAAUACAGCAAGAAUGAGAGAAAUUGCACUGUUGCAUUAAAAAGAAUUUUCCUGCCGGGCGCGGUGACUCACGCCUGUAAUCCCAGCACUUGGGGAGGCCAAGGCGGGUGGAUCACGAGGUCAAGAGAUCAAGACCAUCCUCGCCAACAUGGUGAAACCCCGUCUCUACUAAAAAUACAAAAAAUUAGCCGGGUGUGGUGGCGGAUGCCUGUAGUCCCAGCUACUCAAGAAGCCGAGGCAGGAAAAUCACUUGGACCCUGGAGGCAGAGGUUGCAGUGAGCCGAGAUUGCGCCACUGCACUCCAGCCUGGCGACAUAAUGAGACUCUGUCUUAAAAAAAAAAAAAAGGAAUUUUCCUCUCACUUUCUUCUCACCACCACUAGAUUAAAGGAGCCCCCUUUUCUUCUGCAGAUGAGAGGUGACAGCGUGCUGGCAGUCCUCACAGCCCUCUCUCGCUCUCAGCGCCUCCUCUGCCUGGGCUCCCACUUCGGCCGCACUUUAGGAGCCCUUCAGCCCACCACUGCACUGUGGGAGCCCCUUUCUGGGCUGGCCAAGGCCGGGGCCGGCUCCCUCAGCUUGCAGGGAGGUGUGGAGAGAGAGGCGUGAGCGGGAACCGGGGCUGCGCGAGGGGCUUGAGGGCCAGCUGGAGUUCCGGGUGGGCGUGGGCUUGGCGGCCCAGCACUCGGAGCAGCCCCCUGCCGGUCCCGGGCAAUGAGGGGCUUAGCACCCAGGCCAGCGGCUGCGGAGGGUGUACUGGGUCCCCCAGCAGUGCCGGCCCACCGGUGCUGCACUCGAUUUCUCGCCGGGCAGGGCUCGGGACCUGCAGCCCACCAUGCCUUAGCCUCCCACCCACUCCGUGGGCUCGUGUGCGGCUGGAGCCUCCCCUAGGAGCGCCGCCCCCUGCUCCAGGGCGCCCAGUCCCAUCGACCACCCCAAGGGCUGAGGAGUGCCGGCGCACGGCGCGGGACUGGCAGGCAGCUCCACCUGCAGCCCCGGUGCGCGAUCCACUGGGUGAAGCCAGCUGGGCUUCUGAGUCUGGUGGGGAUGUGGAGAAGCUUUAUGUCUAGCUCAGGGAUUGUAAAUACACCAAUCGGCACUCUGUAUCUAGCUCAAGGUUUGUAAACACACCAAUCAGCACCCCUGUCUAGCUCAGGGUUUGUGAAUGCAAUCGACACUCUGUAUCUAGCUACUCUGGUGGGGACUUGGAGAAUCUUCGUGUGGACACUGUAUCUAGCUCAUCUGGUGGGGACGUGGAGAACCUUUAUAUCUAGCUCAGGGAUUGUAAACACACCAAUCAGCGCCCUGUCAAAACAGACCACUCAGCUCUACCAAUCAGCAGGAUGUGGGUGGGGCCAGAUAAGAGAAUGAAAGCAGGCUGCCCAUGCCAGGAUUGGCAACCUGCUCGGGUCCCCUUCCACACUGUGGGAGCUUUGUUCCUUCACUCUUUGCAAUAAAUCUUGUUGCUGCUCACUCUUUGGGUCCACACUGCCUUUAUGAGCUGUAACACUCACUGCGAAGGUCUGCAGCUUCACCACGAACCCACCGGGAGGAACGAACAACUCCAGAUGCGCCGCCUUAGGAGCUGUAACACUCGCCGCGAAGGUCCGUGGCUUCACUCCUGAGCCAGCGAGACCACGAAGCCCACCAGAAGGAAGAAAUUCCGAACACAUCCGAACAUCAGAAGGAACAAACUCCGGACACACCACCUUUAGGAACUGUAACACUCACCGCGAGGGUCCGCGGCUUCAUUCUUGAAGUCAGUGAGACCAAGAACCCACCAAUUCCGGACACACAGGGACAGCAAUCCACUGCUUGCCAUGAUGUACGAUUGAAGCCUAUCACCCUUUCUGCAGCAGUGGCUCCAGAGAGCAUCAGUAAAGAUGGCAAGAUUGAAAUCCAAGCAACAGAAUUUCCACUGAAUAGAAAUUUCUGAGGAAAGUGUAAGGACAGGUGUGAGAACUCUGGUGGCAAGGAUGAAGAAGCAUCCCCCUUCUCAAACAGGAAAGAAGAGCCAAGAGACCUGAAAAGCAGCUGGAGCCAAGAAGGUGAAAAGGUGAGAGUUCCCAUUGCAAAUAACAUUCUCUCUGUAAAUAAAAAUGGAAAGGCACCUGCUGAAAGAUGGGAGACCAUGUGUGAAUUUGGGAAUCUGAGUAAUAAUAAAGCUGUUUCUAACAGUGACUGUGCAGUGCAGCACAAAGUUGCCAGGCUGCUAAAUUUGGGUUACAGAAAUUUGUGAAGAUGCCAAUUCAGGUUUUUUUGUUUUUAUUAAGAAGGAUACUAGCAAUUCUUAAAUCUGUCAGAUCAGAUUAUCUUAAAAUUUCUGAAGGCUUUUUUUCCACACAAACAAAUAAAUAUUUAUAAAAUGAACUAUAUGCUCAUACCCUUAGUGAAAAUAUGCACAUCAACUUAUGACUUGUGUAAGUCAAUUACUAAUUCAAUUACUAAUGGGAAAUUGGAUGAACUCAGUAAAACUGUCUCAACUAUGUCUCUGGAGUUUCUUUUUCUAUUACAUGCUAAAUUACAAUAAAACCUUGACUACCUAAA